CGGAUUGUAGUCUGCAACUCGACUACAUGAAGCUGGAAUCGCUAGUAAUCGCAGAUCAGAAUGCUGCGGUGAAUACGUUCCCGGGUCUUGUACACACCGCCCGUCACACCAUGAGAGUUGGGAAUACCCGAAGCCUGUGAGCUAACUUUUAGAGGCAGCAGUCGAAGGUAGAAUCAAUGAUUGGGGUGAAGUCGUAACAAGGUAGC
rnacentral:rRNA from 1 species